CGGCGUCUGGGGGCCUGCACCAGCGCCCGCUGACCCCUCUGUGGGGGCCGACCGCUCCCGGUACUGUGCUGCCCGCUGUGGGGAGGAUUUCACUCCGUCUCCACAACCAGCCCAGGAGGGCCCUGCUUGGGUUGGAGCUCUCAUGACCUCCUCUUCACCUUUCCUGGGAGAGAGGAUCUGUGUCCCCGGAAGAAAGAGUGGCCUUCCUGUAGGAGUUUCUCUUAAGUCACUUAAGAAGACUUAAGUCCCUGACCAGGUUGAGUGAACGAGUAUCUUGCAAGUAUUUGGCAGGUUUUAAAUUUCAGACACCUGGCAUAUGAUCCCCCGUUGGUGCCCUGGAUGUGACGUGGUGUUAUGGCAAUUUGCCUCUAAACCCUUUCUGUGGACUUGGUCUUCCAAGCAGGCUAAUGAGUGUUCCUUCGCACACCCGCCCCCUCGCCCUCUGGGCUCCGCCCCCGGGCACGCCCUCUCUCCGGGCCCCGCCCCGGGCCCGCCCCCACUCGCGCCGGGCCCGCCCCGCGCUCACUUUUCCACGCCCACGUGAAUGUAGCC